rnacentral:rRNA from 1 species
CCAAUAGCGUAUAUUAAAGUUGUUGCAGUUAAAAAGCUCGUAGUUGAAUUUCGGGAUUGACGUGAUGGUCGUGCCUUAAGGGGUAUGAACUGUUGCUGUUGAUUUCUCACCUUCUGGAGAAACUUGAUGUCCUUAAUUGGGUGUCUUGCGGAUCCAGGACCUUUACCUUGAAAAAAUUAGAGUGUUUAAAGCAGGCAUUUUGCUCGAAUACAUUAGCAUGGAAUAAUAGAAUAGGACGGCAUGGUUCUAUUUUGUUGGUUUCUAGGAUCACCGUAAUGAUUAAUAGGGAUAGUUGGGGGCAUUAGUAUUCAAUUGUCAGAGGUGAAAUUCUUGGAUUUAUUGAAGACUAACUACUGCGAAAGCAUUUGCCAAGGAUGUUUUCAUUAAUCAAGAACGAAAGUUAGGGGAUCGAAGACGAUCAGAUACCGUCGUAGUCUUAACCAUAAACUAUGCCGACUAGGAAUCAGACGAUGUUAAUUUUUUAAUGACUCGUUUGGCACCUUGCG